AUGUGGACUGUGUUUGUCUUUGCAGUGUGUGCAGCAAGUAAAGAGACUGUUAAUCAAACGGAGCCCCAUGUGAUAAGUACUGAGGGAGAAACAGUCACUCUCACCUGUGAAUAUAAGACAACCAGUGCCAAACCUUACCUCUUCUGGUACAAACAGCAACAGAGUAAAAUGCCUGACUACCUACUGGGACGUGGAAGUUUUGGAUCUGGUUAUAACGGCACUGAAUUCAGUGAGAGAUUCCACUGCACCUUCUCCUCCAGCUCUGUUCCUCUGACAAUCAGGAAUCUGCAAGUGUCUGACUCUGCUGUCUACUACUGUGCCCUGCAGCCCACAGGCAAUCAUCAGGGAAUCCGAUAACAUCAAACAGGGCUGAGAUUACUACUAUGGAAAGAUCUAACACAAUCCUCUCCUGCAACUACUCUUCUGCAGUAACUCUUCAGUGGUAUCGUCAGUGUGA